AUGAACGCUGGCGGCGUGCCUAGUACAUGCAAGUCGAGCGAACAGAUAAGGAGCUUGCUCCUUUGACGUUAGCGGCGGACGGGUGAGUAACACGUGGGUAACCUACCUAUAAGACUGGAAUAACUCCGGGAAACCGGGGCUAAUGCCGGAUAACAUUUAGAACCGCAUGGUUCUAAAGUGAAAGAUGGUUUUGCUAUCACUUAUAGAUGGACCCGCGCCGUAUUAGCUAGUUGGUAAGGUAACGGCUUACCAAGGCAACGAUACGUAGCCGACCUGAGAGGGUGAUCGGCCACACUGGAACUGAGACACGGUCCAGACUCCUACGGGAGGCAGCAGUAGGGAAUCUUCCGCAAUGGGCGAAAGCCUGACGGAGCAACGCCGCGUGAGUGAUGAAGGUCUUCGGAUCGUAAAACUCUGUUAUUAGGGAAGAACAAAUGUGUAAGUAACUGUGCACGUCUUGACGGUACCUAAUCAGAAAGCCACGGCUAACUACGUG
rnacentral:rRNA from 1 species